rnacentral:rRNA from 1 species
UACGUAGGGUGCGAGCGUUGUCCGGAAUUAUUGGGCGUAAAGAGCUCGUAGGCGGUGUGUCGCGUCGGCCGUGAAAACCUGCAGCUUAACUGUGGGCUUGCGGUCGAUACGGGCAUCACUGGAGUUCGGCAGGGGAGACUGGAAUUCCUGGUGUAGCGGUGGAAUGCGCAGAUAUCAGGAGGAACACCGAUGGCGAAGGCAGGUCACUGGGCCGCAACUGACGCUGAGGAGCGAAAGCGUGGGGAGCAAACAGG